UCUACCAAAGGAUAGUAGUAUUCCAC
rnacentral:tRNA from 6 species